rnacentral:rRNA from 1 species
UUAAGACUAUCAGAGAUGCGAUUGGUGCCUUCGGGACUCUAGAUACAGGUGCUGCAUGGCUGUCGUCAGCUCGUGUUGUGAGAUGUUGGGUUAAGUCCCGCAACGAGCGCAACCCUUUUCCUUUUUUGCCAGCGAUUAGGGCGGGAAAUUUUAGGGAACUGGCCGUGGUCAACUGGAAGAAGGGGGGGAACAACUCCAGUCCUUCUGGGCCUUUACAGUAAGGGUUACCCCCUGGUUACAUGGGUCAUACCAAAAGAUUGCACCUCACCAAAACGAUGCUACUCCCAAAAAUGCGACCGAAUCCCGAAUGGAAUCCGGCACUCCACUCCCUUAAAUCCGAAAUCCUUAUAAUCCUGGAAUCAAAUGGCCCCGUGAAAUACUUUCCCGGUCUUGGAUACACCCGGA